UACAGAGGUCCCGAGCGUUUGUUCGGAUUCACUGGGCGUAAAGGGUGCGUAGGUGGCCUGAAAAGUUUGAUGUGAAAGCUCAGGGCUUAACCCUGAAAUGGCAUUGAAUACUGUCGGGCUGGAGGUUUGGAGGGGGGACUGGAAUUCUUGGUGUAGCAGUGAAAUGCGUAGAUAUCAAGAGGAACACCAGUGGCGAAGGCGAGUCCCUGGACAACACCUGACACUGAGGCACGAAAGCUAGGGGAGCAAACAGG
rnacentral:rRNA from 1 species